rnacentral:lncRNA from 1 species
AGUUUGAUCAAUGCUUUUACAGACGAAAGACAAUGGAGAAGGUCAUGCUCUUUUGUGUUUUUUCGUACAGGAUUAUUCAGAUCAGCUCCAGUGAUGUUUCAGAACAUGACGUGACUCUGUUAAGAUUCCGGCUGAAUGAAGGCAUCUCUCUGAACUGCAGCUUGAACGGAAAAUUAAGAAUGGCCUGGUAUCACCAGAAUCCUGAUUCUGGACGACUAACACUACUGCUGUCUACCAUCUAUCAAACCUAUCGAAGCCAUCAAAGCCAUCAAAGCCAUCGCAUAUUUGCAAUAACAGGGACCAGCACAGCCUCGCUAGUUAUUAUUAAUCUAACAGAGUCAGAUUCAGGUCUUUAUUUCUGUGGAACAAGACAUACAUUUCAUUCAGAAAUGCACUUCGACAAACCCAUCAGACUAGUGAUGGAGGACGGAGAGGACAAAGUUCAUUCUGUCACAGAUCCGCCAGAGGAUGCUGAGCUCACAGCCUCUACAGUCGAGGUGAUGCUGUCGGAGCGUGUGCUGAUGUUCGGUGGUGUUGGUCUGGCUGUGCUUGUGUUUUUUCUGGCUACAGUCGUUGCAGGAGGAAUCAUUCACUGUUACGGUUGGCAGAAAGGAUGGGCCGCAGCCAAACGUGCUGGUCUGACUGAUUAAAAAAAUAACCUUAAUGACCUUUCUUUUUCACUCUAUCACAGUAAUCAGCAUCGCUGUAUGUUACCACUUAUAGUGGUUCACCAAUGUGGUUCAGAUCUCACUUAGACUUCUCUAGGUCUAAAAGGAGCUCUAGAGGAGCAUUAAAUUGCCCCGUUUAUGCUAUUUAAAAGGUUCAAAACUUGGUUUUGAGAGUUCUCAACAAUAGGUUUAUAUGCAUGCGAGAAACAUGCAAUUUCAUUGACUUUUGUGUGCGCAGUAAAACUAAGAAAUCACACGUGUUUGUGCAUUUUCUGACAGAAAACCUGAUCAUUAGCAAUGCUAAACCUCUUCAGACACAACUGUAUGUGUUCAAUGUCAGAUCUGUUCUCACGGUUUCAGAAAAAU